rnacentral:rRNA from 1 species
AAAACCUAAAACUGGCAGUCGACGAGAGACCUUCGGGUCUCUAGUGGCGAACGGGUGAGUAACACGUAGGGAACCCGCCCGCGCACCGGGAAUACGCUCUGGAAACGGAGAACAAAUCCCGAUGUACAGGAAGGAGGCAUCUUCUUUCUGUGAAACAUCCUUUAGGGGAUGGGGCGCGGAUGGACCUGCGGUGCAUUAGUUGGUUGGCGGGGUAAAGGCCCACCAAGACGAUGAUGCAUAGCCGGCCUGAGAGGGCGGACGGCCACAUUGGGACUGAGACACGGCCCAGACUCCUGCGGGAGGCAGCAGUAGGGAAUUUUCGUCAAUGGGCGCAAGCCUGAACGAGCGAUGCCGCGUGAGUGAAGAAGGCCUUCGGGUCGUAAAGCUCUGUUGCGGGGGAAAAAAGGCAGCAUCAGGAAAUGGGUGCUGACUGAUGGUGCCCCGCCAGAAAGUCACGGCUAACUACGUGCCAGCAGCCGCGGUAAUACGUAGGUGGCGAGCGUUAUCCGGAAUGAUUGGGCGUAAAGGGUGCGCAGGCGGUCCUGCUAGUCUGGAGUGAAACGCAUGAGCUCAUCUCAUGCAUGGCUUUGGAAACUGGAGGACUGGAGAGCAGGAGAGGGCGGUGGAACUCCAUGUGUAGCGGCAACUUGCGUACAUAUAUGGAACAACCCCCAGCGUCUAUUGUUCUUUUCUUGUCCUG